CCUCUUCCCCUCUCCCUUGGUCGACGGUGAAGAUGGAGGUGACCGGCGGUGGUGGCUUCCCCUCUCUUCCUCCUUCUUUCUCGUCGAUGGCAGUAGCUGACCAGCGAAGCCACCAACAACAGCAGGUAUUGGAGACGACAACAACAGCAGCUCUGGCUUCCCAACUUCAACGAUCAUCGGCAACUUGACCAGUUCCGGUGACCCUGGUUCACCCGACAACAACAGCAAGGAGAUCCGGGAACCUCUAGUUUUCUCCGGCCAUAGCAGCGGCAAAACCUUCGGCUUCCUUUUUGUUUCGGCGACAAAGCUUGACCAUUGGUUGGAUCUCUAGUUCUUCUCGGCGAACUUGACCACAGCUUCCACCAGCGACCUCUGUUUCAACCGGCAACUUCUCCACGACCCAACGAUUUACUCCUGAGCAGGAUGGUUUUCUCCUCUCACUCGCUUGGCAGUUCAACCGGCAACAACAGCAGCUCUAGCACCUCCCGCCCUUCUCCACCGCCCAACGUAGCGAGCAACCACUGCUGCUCAACCACGACAUCUCCUAAUCAAAUUAAGUUGAAUAAUCAUGGAAAAUUUCUAGACUAUGAUGCCCUAACAGAGUGUUUUUCUCUCUCAGGUUGUUGGAGAAUCUAAGAAGAAAGAGGAGUAUUUGUGCUUCCCGGGACAUUAUUGUGCUUGUUAUUCUUUCUUUUACGACGUCGUGAAUAGAGGGGAGCAACUAUGUUGUAAGCAUCAACUGGCUGCAAAACUUGCCAAGUCUUUGGGAGCUUGCAUUGAAGUUAUGGUGUCCGAUGAAGAGCUCGCGGUGAUGCUCUCCCAUCUUUGAUAGUUUGCACUCUGAAUUUUGUAUUUCAUACUGGAAUGAUGAAGUGAGGUGCAAUGCGUAAAUGAGCUGGCUGCAUUUCUAUGUCACACUUGAAUGAUCACUAUAGCACCUAUAUAUGCAUGUAUGAAUUAUAAUU